AUACACGUGGCCGAUGCCGGUGAAAGUGUAGUAUGGGUUCUUAUCAGCAUAAUAUCUGACGCCGCUUGCAUUUGGACCUACACUAUUAAACUUAUUCUUGCAGUUUGGCGGAUUGCUUAAAGCCUGCUUCACCGCCGCCGCGGAUCGGACCGGUAUUUCACUAUCUUCGGGAUCGGCCCACUUAUG